UAGAUGCCAUAUACGAAAACAGGCAUUCAAGUGUGAGAAAUGCAUGUUUCAAAUCGAAUGAUGCAAUUCUAUACGUGUCUGUUCAAAAUGACUUCACUGGGACUUACAUCCCAGGAAUAAAAGUUUAGAGCUGUAAUGGUGCCAUCAAAUUGUUCAAAGAGUUAAUUUGCAUUAAUUUUGCAGACAUUCCAAGAUGUAUCCUUCAUGAAUCAUGGUCACAUGACUGUUUGAAGCUGCAACUGGUCAUAAAUACAGGAUACUUGCCAAAGGGGGACCACAACAUUUACUGAUUGUAAAAGCACCCAUUCCAAAGUUGUUGUAAGUCCAAACUGUCAUAAAUUGACUAGUCAGAAGUCGAGGAUAAACUCAAAUGAAUCAAAACAGAAACCUUAUUUUGUGCUUUGUAGGUAGAAGAGGAUCCUCUUGAAUAGUUAAGGAGGGGAAAAAAGCACUCAAGAUCUUCUUAAGGAAAUGGCUCUCUUUUCUCACUCUCUUAUUAAUCUAUGGAGAAUUAUAUGACAUCAAAGGCUCCAGUGUUAAACUUCCUGCUCCUUCAUGGAAUUGCUCCAGGAUACCUUGAGAAGCGAUGUGUUUUUGACAGUGAUAUCUUCUGACAGCUGCUUUCCUUGAAAUGAUGAAAUUGUCAAGCUCAAGAGCAAAGAUUCUAUACACUAGAAGGUAGCAAAGAUGUAAGCGGAAAACGAGUUCUUACAGAAAGAAGUCCUUCCGUCUCUCCUGAGCUGUGUAAUUGUCUGAGUAAGAGUAUAGCCUGAAUGCUUAUCAAUGCAAGAGAUUUAAAGGACAACUUUACAAGCUGGACAAACAGAGGAAUGCUCGGGUUUCAUUCAGGUGCAUUUUGUAAUCAUGCCAAACAAGAAAUGACAGCACAGGAAAGUAUGGACACAUCACCGAAUAAACAUAUUUUUUACAUGCGUGUCUAACUCAAAAAUCAUGUGCACCCACAGAAUCUCUAAGACAGUUGUGUAACAUCAAAGCCAUGUUCAAGAUGUAAAAGAAUACAGAAAGAAAGGAUGGGGAAGAGAGCAUCAUGGCACCAUGCUUUGGUCCUUGAGUUCGUACAUUUAGGCCCCUUUCAUUGAGCCUCAUGCAAUUAUUAGACCUUGCAGAAGCUUCCUUUUGUGAACUGGUUCUGUACAAACUUUUGCUAAAGAAACAGUUGAUGAGGAAUCAAGGGGACAGUGGAUGUCUGAACUAGCCAUUAUCUUUGUGGCCUAUGCAGUUAUAACUUAAGUUGUUCUGUGAGACAAUUAUUUUUCCUUUUUUUUUUCUUAUAGGCCAUUCUCUUCCUUCUGGAAAGCAAGCUAACUUCCUUUGUAAGUAAUUUGCAAGUAGCAGCAUUCUGACUGAUUAUCACUGAUAAUAGAAGCAUUUAAGCAAGCCAGAAACUUCUGGUGGACAGCGAAUUUGGAUACAGCAUUGAAUAGAAAAAGGGUUUGUGGCAGGUGUUUACACAGACAUAGAAACACACUAUCGCCUUCUUCUAUUUCCUGGCACAUGGAGAGCAGCAGUAUGUGCUACACACUCUGGACUGUUCAUCAACUUCAAACAUAGGCCAGAUCAACCGUGGAAAUGGCAGCAGUUACGAGAAGUGAAAUCCAAACAAACUACAGUAACUUGAAGAGUCUCAGUGGCAAAGAUACAGUCCUCAAUAUAUGCCUGGUCCCAUUGACAAGAGUUAAUGGAAAGAUAAAUCUUAAACCAGCUUGCAGUUUAUAAACUGUCAUCAGCUAGGGGCUCUGAUCUUUGUAAUGAGAAAAUAUCACAGUUUGUAUGGAUAGAGGUGACCUGAUUCGCUCUGGAGACUCUCUCCUCCUUACCCUGUUUGUUACACUAAAAACAUCAGAUUUUCUGAGAUGGAGUAGAAAUGGGGCACAUCAAAGUUAGGCAUUUUAGAAGAUUAUAAAUGUGUGAAAAAGGAGAGUAAUUUUGUCAGCUUGGUCUGAGUGGGUAUAUAGUAAAAUAACAUUUGGAAUAUGUGAUGGAGGGUGUUUAGGUAUCCCUUUUAAUUAUUAAAGCAUCAGCUGAUUUUAGUGUAGCAUCUUUUUCCAUGUUAGUCUUGUAGCCUGUCAACCAAGAGAAAACAAUGAAAAGAAAUGAAACCAAAUUCUACGACUUUAGCCUUUGAAUGGACUAAAGAUUAAAAUUGUUAGAAGUAAAAAAAUGGUUUAUUUAAUCAAUAAUCAAAUAGGUGUGUUGUUAUUUUUUGUAGCCCUUAAUGGACUUUUGCUGAAACCAGGACUGAAAUGACAAUGCUUGAUCAGUUUGUUUACAAAUAAGAGAUGGGACCAUUUUUUGUAUUUGAAGAGAAAGUGGUAUGUUACUAAAAUUGUUCAUACUUGUUGAGGAAGGUGGGAAGUCAUUUCUUUGUAUUUAACGCUUGCUGGAAUUGAGUAUGUCUAGUUUAAUGAAGAGAAGGACGAGGGGGGACAUGAUAGCAGUGUUCCAAUAUCUCAGGGGCUGCCGCAAAGAAGAGGGAGUCAAGCUAUUCUCCAAAG